rnacentral:tRNA from 2 species
AAAGAUUUAUUUAAAAAAUAAUAUUUUAUUGUUAAUAAAAAGUUUUUUCUUUUUU